ACUCCAGUUGAUGUGUGGUCAGUGGGAUGUAUAUUUUCUGAAAUGGUUAACCAGCGGCCAUUGUUCCCUGGGGACUCUGAGAUUGAUGAACUAUUCAAGAUUUUCACUCCAAAUGAAGAUACAUGGCCUGGGGUGACUUCUUUGCCUGACUUCAAGUCUGCCUUCCCGAAGUGGCCACCUAAGGACUUGGCAACUGUAGUUCCAACUCUUGAAACGGCUGGCAUUGACCUUCUUACUAAAAUGCUCUGCUUGGAUCCCAGCAAAAGGAUUACAGCCAGGAUUGCUCUCGAGCAUGAAUACUUCAAGGACAUUGGUUUUGUACCCUAGCACCUUUUCUUAUUAGUAAUACACAAUAUAUACAAACAUAUCAUUGUAUAUUGCUUGGUGGAUUUUGAUUUUGCGAGGAAGAUGCAUUUUCUCUGCUAUUUGCUCUUUCAAUUUUCCACGAAAACUAAUCAGUUCAAAGCUANUUGUCUAGCAUCUGUCGUGUCUUAAGCUCUUUAUCCUUGUUAAAAUAUUAUCUCGUGGCCUUG
rnacentral:misc_RNA from 1 species